GCGCCUGUCGUUCAACGGAUAGGACGCAGCCCUGCGAAGGCUGAAAUCGAGGUUCGAUUCCUCGUGGGCGCA
rnacentral:tRNA from 1 species